GGUAAUGUCUGGGAAACUGCCCGAUGGAGGGGGAUAACUACUGGAAACGGUAGCUAAUACCGCAUAACGUCGCAAGACCAAAGAGGGGGACCUUCGGGCCUCUUGCCAUCGGAUGUGCCCAGAUGGGAUUAGCUAGUAGGUGGGGUAACGGCUCACCUAGGCGACGAUCCCUAGCUGGUCUGAGAGGAUGACCAGCCACACUGGAACUGAGCACGGUCCAG
rnacentral:rRNA from 1 species